AAUGGGGGAGCGGGCGGCAAAGCGGGGUGUGUGAGGGAGCGGCGGUUGCUCGCUCGCGCCGCUGUCCUCCUUAGCCCGCCCUGCCUCAGUGCCGGUAGCCGCCAUUCCCUCAGCAGAGCUGCAACUGACUGCCGUUGCUGUAGUGUAAUGUCUAUUGAGAGCUAGAAGUAUUGGAAUGAAUCUGCCUCUUAUUGUGUCCUAACGCAUUCAAGAUUCCUGCUGCAGUGAGCUUGUUGGACAGAAGAUUUGAUUUCUGUGUGAGAAAUAGAUCUCAAGUCUGCUUUUAAGGAAGACAGCUGUUCAGAACAACUGAAGCACAGGAUUUCUUGUUCAGGCCUUAGUGUUCUAAACUACUGCUUUUGCAUCGAACAUCUGGAAGUGUCAAACUGAUAAACUUCAGAACUUCUGCAGAUUUUGGACAGGGAGAUGUUACCAACCACAGGUGACUUCUUGCAUGCCUGACUAAAUGGAAGCAUCCUACACAUGGGAUCUCUUUUAGCUUCAGAUUUUCCAGGGCUGAGGCCCUCAUCUUCUCCUGUGGUUACAGGAGCAUGUAAACCCCAAUAGAGAGCUGACUAUUCAGUGUCUGCCUGAAAUCAUAAGGUCUGUGUGCAGUCUGAGAGUUAAACCUCCAUCUUCAUAGUAUAAAUAUCCUGAAACUGCAGAAACAGCAGUCUGAGGAAGCUUCAUGCAUAGUAGUCAUAGCAGUAUAGUUUUUCAGAACAUCACGUCUAUCAGGACUCGGGCCUUCUGGUGUGCUAUGUGUUUUCUUGACUUAAAAGUGACAUUU